GUGGGGAAUCUUGCGCAAUGCGCGAAAGCGUGACGCAGCAACGCCGCGUGGAGGAAGACGGUCUUCGGAUUGUAAACUCCUUUCAGUUGGGACGAAGCUCAAUGGGUUAAUAGCCCAGCGGAGUGACGGUACCUUCAGAAGAAGCCCCGGCUAACUACGUGCCAGCAGCCGCGGUAAUACGUAGGGGGCUAGCGUUGUCCGGAAUCAUUGGGCGUAAAGCGCGUGUAGGCGGUCCGGUAAGUCCGCUGUGAAAGUCGGGGGCUCAACCCUCGAAUGCCGGUGGAUACUGUCGGGCUAGAGUGCGGAAGAGGCGAGUGGAAUUCCUGGUGUAGCGGUGAAAUGCGCAGAUAUCAGGAGGAACACCAAUUGCGAAGGCAGCUCGCUGGGACGUUACUGACGCUGAGACGCGAAAGCGUGGGGAGCAAACAGGAUUAGAUACCCGUGUAGUCC
rnacentral:rRNA from 1 species